ensembl:lncRNA
CAGUGACCACUAUGUGCACAUUAACACUCACACAGAGUGACUAGUACGACCCUCUCACACACACACACACACACACACACACACACACACACACAAUGACCAGUAUGUGCACAUACACACUCACAGAGGCCAACUUGUGUGAAGGAAAGUAAUUCUGAGAAUCUCUGAGAACUGAACUAAGAACGCACUUUAAACUAAACAGCGACACACACACACACACACACACACACACACACACACACACUCAAGUUCACACUGACCUGAGUAGUUCAGCAGCAGUGUCUCUAAGCUUGAGGGGGAGGCAGCUGGUCAUUUGAAGGCUAAGAGUGUGUGUAGGGAGCUGAGUGUGUGUGUGUGUGUGGAGCUGAUAAUGUGUGUGCAGAGAGCUGAGAGUGUGUGUGCAGAGAGCUGAGUGUGUGUGUGUGUGUGUGUGUGUGUGUGUGUGUGUCUGAGUGUGUGUGUGUGUGUGAGUGUGCAGGGAGCUGAGAGUGUGGGUGUGCAGAGAGCCGAGAGUGUGUGUGUGUGCAGAGAGCCGAGAGUGUGUCUGUGUAGAGAGCUGAGAGUGUGUCUGUGCAGAGAGCUGAGAGUGUGUGUGAUUUUUGAGGGGGGGG